CCCAGCCCAGGCCCAGGCCAGACCCAGGCCCAGACCCAGGCCCAGACCCAGACCCAGGCCCAGACCCAGACCCAGGCCCAGACCCAGACCCAGACCCAGGCCCAGGCCCAGGCCAGACCCCACGUUGGUGAGAAGUCAAAUCAUUUGAAUGCUUUGAACUGCUUGUUGUCAUCCUCCCUUCUCUUCUGUUUGCCUGACAAGUUCAGAGGGAAUAGAUCACAGAGUAUAAGUCAACAGCAUGGGUAAAGGUUACAGUCCUUAACGCACCUCUAGACAUUUAGGGAAAAUUCAGAACAAGAAAACAGAAUGGUAGUUGUAACACUGAAGUCUCUAAUUCAAGUCUUUGAGCAUCUGGACCUUCUGGAUCUGGGCUCUAAAAAUAAUUUUAAAGUAGUGUAUUC
ensembl:lncRNA